AAUGUACUUGAUUAAACAGCAUCACAAUCAUCAUGUUUGGUGUGACCAACAAAAAUGCAAGCAUCAAAGAGAUCUCGUUUUGAAGCAAGGACAUCCUGCCCGAUUGGUACUGUGCAACUCUCAGCAGAGUGAAUUCGCCUGUCUCACGCAUCUGUGCUAUGAGCUGAUGAUGAGGCAGCUAACGAGUGAGCCACCUCGCUUCCUUCUGAUGUUUUUUGAGAGUUGCACAUGCACAUCACGACCUUCUUUGGUGACAGCAAAGGUGCUCAGCACAGCGAGCCCGUGACCCCGAAGACGACAUGAUAAUAAAGCAGGAGUGUCGGGGCUGGGGGUGAAAGCAGACACAGAUGGAUCAGGCUUUCCCCCUUUGUUCCUUCAUAUCGCCGUCUCGCCAUGCAGGGCCAAAACCUCACAAC